rnacentral:rRNA from 1 species
AAGUACCCGUGAGGGAAAGUUGCAAAGAACUUUGAAGAGAGAGUUCAAGAGGGCGUGAAACCGCUUAGAAGGAAACGGAUGGAGCAGACGUCAGUCCCUGGGAUUCAGCCUGGCGUCCGCAGAGAGCAUUGUUGUCCUGAUCAGACUCAGUGACGGGUGGCAGUGUUUCCUCUGUGGACACGGGUGCACUUCUCAGGGAUCGUGCCAAAGGCAGUGAGUGUGUUGCGUUGACCUAGAGUUGGUGGCUCCCGGCCUUGUGUUGGGAGUGUCUCGCUCUGGUGCUCAGUGCGGUCAUGCCUACUGUGAAGGAAAGAGUGCCCGACUCUAUCUCGUGACUGCUGGCAUUUGCACUGGUGUGGUAUGGGGCUCCGGCUUCUGGACCUGUCCCAUCGGCGUAAGUGUUCUCGGUAGCCUGCGAGUGGUGCUUGGCUUUGGCAUCUUGUCUGUUACCCAUCCGACCCGUCUUGAAACACGGACCAAGGAGUCUAACAUGGGCGCGAGUUACUGGGUUGCAAAACCUAAGAGCGUAAUGAAAGUGAAGACUGGCUUUAGUCAGUUGAUAUGGGAUCCGUGGCUUAUGCUGCGGCGCACCAUAGUCCCGCUCCUACUGCAUUGCCAGUGGAGCGGAGAUAGAGCGUGCAUGUUGGGACCCGAAAGAUGGUGAACUAUGCCUGAGCAGGAUGAAGCCAGAGGAAACUCUGGUGGAAGUCCGUAGAAGUUCUGACGUGCAAAUCGAUUUCUGGACUUGGGUAUAGGGGCGAAAGACUAAUCGAACUAUCUAGUAGCUG